GGGAGUGUUCUGCCCAGAUGUCGUGUGACAGUGCGUGUGCUUUAGCUUUUGUACGGGUCAUUGAUAAUUAAUGCGGCCCGCCGCCCGGACCUUGCCCGCGAGGUCUGACGCGGUGAAAGACAGCGGGCUUACCGGCCGGAAGUUGCCCGGUUAACCAGUCGGAAAAUUCCAUCGGGCUGGCCGAUCCGUACCGUGUCGCAGGCGGGCCGGUGAAGCGAGAUGCCGAAAAACCGCGACUAUGCACGUAGAAGCCGGCGUUGAAACGUCACGGGACCCGGGUUCGAUUCCCGGCGCCUCCAUGA
rnacentral:tmRNA from 1 species